CACCUCUGAAACCUGGAUCAGCUACGUUUCCUUUCUUUGGCGUGGAGCCCACCAUACUGAACGAGCAUGGAGAGGAACUGGAGGGAGAGGCAGAGGGCUAUCUGGUGUUCCGUCGGCCCUGGCCUGGUAUCAUGCGUACCCUGUACGGAAACCAGGAGCGAUUUGAGAGCACGUACUUCAAGAAAUUCCCAGGUUUCUACGUGACCGGGGAUGGCUGCAGGAGGGAUAGAGAUGGAUACUACUGGAUCGCAGGCAGGAUAGAUGACAUGAUCAACGUGUCAGGUCAUUUGUUUCCUACAG